AUUGAACGCUGGCGGCAAGCCUAACACAUGCAAGUCGAACGAGUGGCGGACGGGUGAGUAAUGUCUGGGAAACUGCCUUGUGGAGGGGGAUAACUACUGGAAACGGUCGCUAAUCCCGCAUACAAUCCGAUGUUCCCAGAUGGGAUUAGCUCGUAGGUGGGGUAAAGGCUCACCUAGGCGACGAUCCCUAGCUGGUCUGAGAGGAUGACCAGCCACACUGGAACUGAGACACGGUCCAGACUCCUACGGGAGGCAGCAGUGGGGAAUAUUGCACAAUGGGCGCAAGCCUGAUGCAGCCAUGCCGCGUGUAUGAAGAAGGCCUUCGGGUUGUAAAGUACUUUCAGCGGGGAGGCGUUACCCGCAGAAGAAGCACCGGCUAACUCCGUGCCAGCAGCCGCGGUAAUUC
rnacentral:rRNA from 1 species